GUCAGUAUGUUAUUAAUAACCUUACAUUUUGUAGUAGUGUGCGCGAAAAUUUCGAUUAUAUAAAAUACAAAAGUUGAAAUACAAAAAUCUUAUCAAUUAGGAACUAGUGUGUAAAUAGAAAAAAUGGCGUAAGCACCACGUGGCUAAACGUUGUUAAACACUCGAUUGCUUAAACGCUCGCUCUCAAUCAAUCUCUUGUUUUGUGUUGUAUUGCUGAAUGUUUUCACCUUACCUGCUGACCGCCUUGAACACGUCAGUGGUUUCGUCUUCACACUAAAACCGAAAAAAGAA